rnacentral:rRNA from 1 species
AGAUUGAACGCUAGCGGGAUGCUUUACACAUGCAAGUCGAACGGCAGCGCGGACUUCGGUCUGGCGGCGAGUGGCGAACGGGUGAGUAAUAUAUCGGAACGUGCCCAGUAGCGGGGGAUAACUACGCGAAAGCGUGGCUAAUACCGCAUACGCCCUACGGGGGAAAGGGGGGAUCGCAAGACCUCUCACUAUUGGAGCGGCCGAUAUCAGAUUAGCUAGUUGGUGAGGUAAAGGCUCACCAAGGCGACGAUCUGUAGCUGGUUUGAGAGGACGACCAGCCACACUGGGACUGAGACACGGCCCAGACCUCCGUACGGGAGGCAGCGAGUGGGAAUUUUGGACAAGUGGGGAAACCCUGAUCCAGCCAUCCCGCGUGUGCGAUGGAAGGCCGUUCGGGUUAGUAAAGCUACGUUUU